rnacentral:lncRNA from 1 species
GAACUGGGUCAGCAUGGUUCCGGGCAUGGAAGAUCCACCUGAGGGAUGUUACCAAAAUGACAUAAAAGGAGAACUGGAGAGGAAAACUGCACGCUGAUGAUUUUCCUGAAGAAGAUGCUUUUCAGAGGUUUUUUCUUCAAAAGAGCUUUGGCUGCAGCUGCCUUCCUUCGAGAGAGCGUCAGUCCUCAUCUUCAUCCUGGAUGUAAUCUCCUGGCUCCAGUGCGGAUCUCUCAGCCUUCGGCUACAGGGGCAGAACUGGAGAAAUGGAGGCAGAUUUCAGCAUAUGAUGAGGAGGAAUCAAAGGAAGAUGUAUCAAAAUUCACUUCAACAAAAUCUUAG